CACGUAGGGCGCGAGCGUUGUCCGGAAUUAUUGGGCGUAAAGAGCUCGUAGGCGGUUUGUCGCGUCUGCCGUGAAAGUCCGGGGCUCAACUCCGGAUCUGCGGUGGGUACGGGCAGACUAGAGUGCAGUAGGGGAGACUGGAAUUCCUGGUGUAGCGGUGAAAUGCGCAGAUAUCAGGAGGAACACCGAUGGCGAAGGCAGGUCUCUGGGCUGUAACUGACGCUGAGGAGCGAAAGCAUGGGGAGCGAACAGG
rnacentral:rRNA from 1 species